AACGAACGCUGGCGGCAGGCCUAACACAUGCAAGUCGAACGAUAAGCCACCUUCGGGUGGUGGACAGUGGCAGACGGGUGAGUAACGCGUGGGAACGUGCCUUUCGGUUCGGAAUAACCCAGGGAAACUUGGGGCUAAUACCGGAUACGCCCUUCGGGGGAAAGAUUCAUUGCCGAAAGAUCGGCCCGCGUCGGAUUAGCUAGUUGGUGGGGUAAUGGCUCACCAAGGCAACGAUGGUUAGCUGGUCUGAGAGGAUGAUCAGCCACACUGGAACUGAGACACGGUCCAGACACCUACGGGAGGCUG
rnacentral:rRNA from 1 species